rnacentral:ncRNA from 2 species
GGUCAUGAGUGCCAGCAACAGCCCCGGCUCGCUGGCCGGCAACCCUCCAUCCGCGGUGGGGUGCCCCGGGUGAGGACCUGGCCGUCCGGCAAAAGGCCGGAUGGCAAGCGCGGCCC